GGAGAGGUGCGAGAGUGGCUUAAUCGGAUCGCCUGGAAAGCGGUUGUGCAGCAAUGUACCGAGGGUUCGAAUCCCUCCCUCUCCGCCA
rnacentral:tRNA from 1 species